rnacentral:rRNA from 1 species
UACGUAGGGUGCAAGCGUUGUCCGGAAUUAUUGGGCGUAAAGAGCUCGUAGGCGGUUUGUCGCGUCUGCUGUGAAAACGCGAGGCUCAACCUCGCGCCUGCAGUGGGUACGGGCAGACUAGAGUGCGGUAGGGGAGAUUGGAAUUCCUGGUGUAGCGGUGGAAUGCGCAGAUAUCAGGAGGAACACCCGUAGCGAAGGCGGCACUCUGGGCCGAUACUGACACUGAGGAGCGAAAGCGUGGGGAGCGAACAGG